rnacentral:piRNA from 1 species
UGGGGAUUUAGACUUCAAUUUGCCAGGAGA